GUAAUCACAGGUCAGCAUACUGUGGUGAAUACGUUCCCGGGCCUUGUACACACCGCCCGUCACACCAUGAGAGUUGAGAAUACCCGAAGUCCAUGUCAAAGUGGCCGAAGGUAGGCUUGAUGAUUGGGGUGAAGUCGUAACAAGGUAGC
rnacentral:rRNA from 1 species